rnacentral:rRNA from 1 species
GACGAACGCUGGCGGCGUGCUUAACACAUGCAAGUCGAGCGGAGCGGCGAACGGGUGAGUAACGCGUGAGUAACUGCCCCCCUCUCUGGGAUAACAGUUGGAAACGGCUGCUAAUACCGGAUAGUGGGGGAUGACUCGCGUCCUAUCAGCUUGUUGGUGGGGUAGUGGCCUACCAAGGCGACGACGGGUAGCCGGCCUGAGAGGGCGACCGGCCACAUUGGGCUGGGAUACGGCCCAAACUCCUACGGGAGGCAGCAGUGGGGAAUAUUGCACAAUGGGGGAAACCCUGAUGCAGCAACGCGCGUGCGGGAUGACGGCCUUCGGGUUGUAAACCUCUUUCGCCAGUGAAGUUUGUGGGGUGGUUGACGGUAGCUGGAUAAGAAGCGCCGGCUAACUACGUGCCAGCAGCCGCGGUAAUAC